CCCUUAGAUGUCCUGGGCUGCACGCGCGCUACACUGAUGUGUCCAGUAAGCACCUAACCUCUUCCGAAGGGAACGGGUAACCUUAGCAAAGCACAUCGUGAUGGGGAUAGAUUAUUGCAAUUAUUAGUCUUGAACGAGGAAUUCCUAGUAAGCACAAGUCAUCAGCUUGUGUUGAUUACGUCCCUGCCCUUUGUACACACCGCCCGUCGCUCCUACCGAUUGAAUGGUCCGGUGAGGCUUUGGGAUCUGAGCGGAAAGAGCGUUUCGCUGUUUCUGCUCGGAAAACUCAGUCGAACCUUAUCAUUUAGAGGAAGGAGAAGUCGUAACA
rnacentral:rRNA from 1 species